GGACUACCGGGGUAUCUAAUCCUGUUUGCUCCCCACGCUGUCGCGCAUCAGUGUCAGCAACUGCCCAGCUCACCGCCUUCGCCACCGGUGUUCUUCCGGAUCUCUACGCAUUCCACCGCUACACCCGGAAUUCCAUGAGCCUCUACAGUGCUCGAGCGCUGCAGUUUCGACGGCCGACUCGACGUUAAGCGUCGAGCUUUCACCGUUGACUUGCAGCGCCACCUACGCGCCCUUUACGCCCAGUGAUUCCGGACAACGCUCGCACCCUCCGUAUUACCGCGGCGGCUGGCAC
rnacentral:rRNA from 1 species